rnacentral:tRNA from 1 species
UCCUGUGUAGCUCAGUUGGUAGAGCAUGGCGCUUGCAGCGGCAGGGUUGUGGGUUCGAUUCCCACGGGAG